CAUGCAAGUCGAACGGGAAACAUUUCAUUGAGGCUUCGGCGGAUUUGGUCUGUUUCUAGUGGCGGACGGGUGAGUAACGCGUGGGUAACCUGCCUUAUACUGGGGGAUAACAGCCAGAAAUGGCUGCUAAUACCGCAUAAGCGCACGGGACCGCAUGGUCCUGUGUGAAAAACUCCGGUGGUAUAAGAUGGACCCGCGUUGGAUUAGCUAGUUGGCAGGGCAGCGGCCUACCAAGGCGACGAUCCAUAGCCGGCCUGAGAGGGUGAACGGCCACAUUGGGACUGAGACACGGCCCAGACUCCUACGGGAGGCAGCAGUGGGGAAUAUUGCACAAUGGGGGAAACCCUGAUGCAGCGACGCCGCGUGAAGGAAGAAGUAUCUCGGUAUGUAAACUUCUAUCAGCAGGGAAGAUAAUGACGGUACCUGACUAAGAAGCCCCGGCUAACUACGUGCCAGCAGCCGCGGUAAUACGUAGGGGGCGAGCGUUAUCCGGAUUUACUGGGUGUAAAGGGAGCGUAGACGGCGUAUCAAGUCUGAUGUGAAAGGCAGGGGCUUAACCCCUGGACUGCAUUGGAAACUGG
rnacentral:rRNA from 1 species